GGGCGAGUGGCGGAAUUGGUAGACGCUCAACUCUUAAAAAGUUGUGNNGGUUCGAUUCCCUCCCCGCCCACAA
rnacentral:tRNA from 1 species